GAAUGCUGACAUAAGUAACGAUAAAGCGGGUGAAAAGCCCGCUCGCCGGAAGACCAAGGGUUCCUGUCCAACGUUAAUCGGGGCAGGGUGAGUCGACCCCUAAGGCGAGGCCGAAAGGCGUAGUCGAUGGGAAACGGGUUAAUAUUCCCGUACUUGGUGUUACUGCGAAGGGGGGACGGAGAAGGCUAUGUUGGCCGGGCGACGGUUGUCCCGGUUUAAGCGUGUAGGUGUGUGUUCCAGGUAAAUCCGGUUCACUUUAACACUGAGGCGUGACGACGAGGCACUACGGUGCUGAAGCAACAAAUGCCCUGCUUCCAGGAAAAGCCUCUAAGCAUCAGGUAACAUCAAAUCGUACCCCAAACCGACACAGGUGGUCAGGUAGAGAAUACCAAGGCGCUUGAGAGAACUCGGGUGAAGGAACUAGGCAAAAUGGUGCCGUAACUUCGGGAGAAGGCACGCUGACACGUAGGUGAAGUGAUUUACUCAUGGAGCUGAAGUCAGUCGAAGAUACCAGCUGGCUGCAACUGUUUAUUA
rnacentral:rRNA from 1 species